rnacentral:rRNA from 1 species
UUUUUGGGCUUGGUAAUUGGAAUGAGGGAGAGUUAAACGGACCAUCGAGUAUCCAUUGGAGGGCAAGUCUGGUGCCAGCAGCUGCGGUAAUACCAGCUCCAAUAGCGUAUAUUAAAGUUGUUGCAGUUAAAAAGCUCGUAGUUGGACUUGUGUGCGCUGUCCGCGGGUGGCCUGCGCCCAAAAGGGCGUUUCGGUUCGGCCCCGGUGGCGCCUUGAAAUCUGCAGCUGGGGGGACGUUGGCCUUAACUGGUCGGCGACCGCACGCCGGCUGCUCGGUUACUGUGAGAAAAUUAGAGUGUUCAAGGCAGGCAUUGGGUGCAAUUGAAUACAUUAGCAUGGAAUAAUAAAAUAUGGCUCCUGCCGUAUUUUGUUGGUUUUGACUGGUGGGAGUAAUGAUUGAUAGGGACGGUUGGGGGUGCUAGUAUUGAGCGGCCAGAGGUGAAAUUCAUGGAUUCGCUCAAGACUAACUUAUGCGAAAGCAUUCACCAAGGACGUCCUCUUUAAUCAAGAACGAAAGUUGGGGGAUCGAAGACGAUCAGAUACCGUCGUAGUCUCAACCAUAAACUAUGUCGACUUGGGAUCGGCGGUAGUUUUUUCAUUAAGACACUGUCGGGACCACGGGAGAAAUCAAAGUGUCUGGACUCUGGGGGAAGUAUGGUCGCAAGGCUGAAACUUGAAGGAAUUGACGGAAGGGCACCACCAGGAGUGGAGCCUGCGGCUUAAUUUGACCCAACACGGGGAAACUUACCAGGUCCAGAGAUGUAGAGGAUUGACAGAUCGAAGCUCUUUCUUGAUCACUUCGGUGGUGGUGCAUGGCCGUUCUUAGUUGGUGGAGUGAUUUGUCUGGUUAAUUCCGUUAACGAACGAGACCUCAGCCUGCUAGUGUAGUCGGCUGGAUUGCCUUUGGCGAUCCGUGAUUUCGACUUCUUAGAGGGACAAUCGACGCGCAGUCGAUGGAAGUUUGAGGCAAUAACAGGUCUGUGAUGCCCUUAGAUGUUCUGGGCCGCACGCGCGCUACACUGCUGGGCUCAGCGAGUUUUACUUGGCCGAGAGGCCCGGUUAAUCUUGUGAAAUCCCAGCGUGCUUGGGCUCGCCUCCUGCAACUGGAGGCGCCAACGAGGAAUUCCUAGUAGACGCAGGUCAUCAACCUGCAUCGAUUACGUCCCUGCCCUUUGUACACACCGCCCGUCGUUCCAUAAGAGUGAGGCAUCCGGUGAAUUCUCGGGAGAGCCUGGGCGUGGCCAGCAAUGGUCUGCUCGGGUUUGAACUUGCAUAAACUUGGUGCCUAUGAUUAGGG